rnacentral:rRNA from 1 species
GACGAACGCUGGCGGUGUGCCUCACACAUGCAAGUCGAACGGGGUAGCAAUACCCAGUGGCGGACGGGUGAGUAACACGUGGGAAUCUGCCUUAAAGUGGGGGAUAACAGUCCGAAAGGACUGCUAAUACCGCAUACGUCGCAAGAUAAAAGGAGCAAUCCGCUUUUAGAUGAGCCCGCGUCCGAUUAGCUAGUUGGUAGGGUAAAGGCUUACCAAGGCUACGAUCGGUAGCUGGUCNGAGAGGAUGA